GACGAACGCUGGCGGCGUGCUUAACACAUGCAAGUCGAACGGAAAGGCCCUGCUUUUGUGGGGUGCUCGAGGGGCGAACGGGUGAGUAACACGUGAGUAACCUGCCCUUGACUUUGGGGUAACUUCAGGAAACUGGGGCUAAUACCGGAUAGGAGCUCCUGCUGCAUGGUGGGGGUUGGAAAGUUUCGGCGGUUGGGGAUGGACUCGCGGCUUAUCAGCUUGUUGGUGGGGUAGUGGCUUACCAAGGCUUUGACGGGUAGCCGGCCUGAGAGGGUGACCGGCCACAUUGGGACUGAGAUACGGCCCAGACUCCUACGGGAGGCAGCAGUGGGGAAUAUUGCACAAUGGGCGGAAGCCUGAUGCAGCAACGCCGCGUGCGGGAUGACGGCCAUCGGGUUGUAAACCGCUUUCGCCUGUGACGAAGCGUGAGUGACGGUAAUGGGUAAAGAAGCACCGGCUAACUACGUG
rnacentral:rRNA from 1 species